rnacentral:tRNA from 1 species
GGUCCCAUCGUCUAGAGGCCUAGGAUGCGUGGUUCUCAGCCACGAGACCGGGGUUCGAAUCCCCGUGGGACUACCA